ACUUCUGAAUCACUAGAGGCUCUGGAAUGACCCAACCUCUUCAUACCCCAG
rnacentral:miRNA from 1 species